UACGUAGGGUCCGAGCGUUGUCCGGAAUUAUUGGGCGUAAAGAGCUCGUAGGCGGUUUGUCGCGUCUGCUGUGAAAAUCCAGGGCUUAACCCUGGACCUGCAGUGGGUACGGGCAGACUGGAGUGCGGUAGGGGAGAUCGGAAUUCCUGGUGUAGCGGUGAAAUGCGCAGAUAUCAGGAGGAACACCGGUGGCGAAGGCGGAUCUCUGGGCCGUAACUGACGCUGAGGAGCGAAAGCAUGGGGAGCGAACAGG
rnacentral:rRNA from 1 species